CGCAUGUUCUGACUGGCAGCUUUCUGGUGGCCGUAUAGACAAUGAGGAUUUUAUUGAGGUCACUUACCGGGACGAAAGGGUAAACUUGUGUGCGGAUACGUCACAGAACUUAGAGGAAGUGUGCAAAAAAUUAGGAAAGUCUGUGGAUGAAAGUAGAAAUGUCUUCAAUGCUAGUCGGAAAGAGAAAGCCAUUUCGUUUAUAAAUGUGGCAAAUAAAUGUGGCAAAGAGGAAAAGAAGAAAAACACUUGUGGUGGAGAUGUGAUCAUUGACUGUUGCCAA